rnacentral:lncRNA from 1 species
UGGACAUUGUAAUUAGUUAAUGAUGCAUGUGACCGCUUUCACUACUCUGACAAUCUUCAAGCAAUUUGGAAAAUUCCUACUUUAAGCAAAGUUGAAGCAAGAUGAAGAGAAGAACCAGAUACCUUUAGUUAAUUGAAACUUAAACACUUCCAAAAAGAGAAAGUGACUCAUAUCUGCAUAAUUCUCUAUUGUAGUAAAAGCAUGGUGUCUUUUUAUAAUCAUGCAUGCGUUAAGCAUGUAACAUGAACUCUUAAUGUAUCAUGACAUAUAGAGAAUGGACAACAAUAUGAAAAAUACAUCAAGGAGAAACUAAAAGGGAGCAAACAGUCAAGAGCAUGAUAGAAAUAUGGAAAGAUAACUCUCACUAUAUCUCAGGAGCUUCGAUGUUUUGCUGACGUUGAGAAAAAGUUUCCAUGGAACAAACACCAGGUAAUGGGGGUUUUUGAUGUUAAUUCCUACAUCAGAGGACUCUGUCUUGCAGUUUUCAUUUGGAAUAUAGCUUGUUGCUAGGCUUUAAGAAACCUCAAGACAUAUAUAUAGUGAAUUUUUUUCAUCUUACUAUUUAAUAACUCAUAAUCAUAUCUUGUUAAAGAAAUAUUUGUUAUUUGACAAUUUUAAACAGACUUUCCAACACACACACACACAUAUACAUGUAUGUAUGUAUGUAGGUAUGUAUGUACGUACGUAUGUAUGUAUGAAUGUAUGUAUGUAUGCAUAUUUGCAUUACUUUCCUUAGAGGUGUUCCGGUUCCUAGCAGAGAAACUUAUCUCCUGACCAUAACAGCAUCGAACACCACCUUCCUCAUUAGCAACUGGGUUAAACUCGAUUUAACUGGUGGGUUUGCCAUCAUUAAAACUCAUGUGAAAAUUAUGUAUUGGUAGCUUAAUCUUUGAUUAGUUCAAAGCUCCUCAAUUACUACUUGCACAUAAUAGGAAAUUAAAAAAAAAAUGCCAAGGAAAGAUAAUUUUGAGAUCUCUAGAUGCGAAGUUGAUUAUUUAUUGGUCCAUAAGUUACAAGCUUGUAUGGAGAUGAAGCAGUCUCAACCAAGAAAAGUUUACUUUGAAGUUCAUAAUUAGAUGUUUACUUAAUUACCUUAAGCAUAGGCAAGUGUAUAGCAUACAUGCAUGCAAACAUACAUACAUAUAUACAAAUGUAUAUGUACGUAUGUAUGUAUAAAGAGAGAGACAGCUAGACUUAGUGUGUGUGUCUAUAUAUAUAUGUGUGUGUGUAUAAAGAGAGAGAGAGAGGCAGUUAGACUUGGCUACACUUGAGUGUGUCUCCACACACAUCCAGCUAAGUCUAGGUUUGAUAAUGGAGCUCCCACAUCGAUAAUCCGAGUUAUCGGAUGUGAUCUACUAUCUCCAACAUUUUACAUGCUCAAACUCGUGAUUUGAAAACCCUUAGCCUUGGAUCACGUGAUUAAAAUAUAUAUAUAUAUAUAUAAUUUAAUGUUAUUUAAAAUAUCUAUUUUUUUACCAUUUGAUGCAUAGACUAGGAGCCUUCAAAUCAUAUGAUUUUAGUAUGUAAGCAGUUUAGAGAUAGUAAAUCACAUCCAACAGUUUCGAUCAUAGACCUCCAUUGUCGAAUCUAGACCCAACUAGAUCUGAGUGGAGAUCCACUCAAGGUAGCCAAGUCUAUCGGUACAUAUUGUUGGUCCUUAAACUGGAUAUUUGAUAAUCUGACAACUCUUGAAUUCCCGGGUUUCAUGUGAAGGCCUAUCUCUCCACGUGAGAUCACAAUUUGGGCAUAGAUUUUUCAUGUGAAGGCUGAGUAACCAAUGUUAUCAACAAAGGUAAUAUUAAGAGUCCCGAGGAAAUUGAGUGAAGCAGCACCAAAAUGGAGCCAUGAUUCUAACAAUGUCAUAUAUGCAAUAUUGAAGUAUAUCUAGAGGCACCAAUUAGUGUAAUAUUAUAUCAAGUGCUUAUAUAUUAAGUGCUCGCUGAUAUCGUAAGGCACAUAUGUAGUUGAAGAAAAAAUUCAUGGUUUUAAAGAACUGGUUUGGAUCAUUCUCCUCAAAAUAAGAAAAAAAUAUCUGGUUUAGGCCAGCUAUGACCAUAUAGUGAUCAAUAUGAGAAAAGAAAAAAUUAUGACCAAAUUGUGAUCUCAUGUGGAGAGAUAGGCCUUCACAUGAAACCUGAGAAUUCAAGAGCUGUCAGAAUAUCAAACAUCCAAUUUAGGGACCACACACACACACACACACAUGCCUGCUUGUAAAUAAAGUAAUGAAGCAAACAUCUAAUUAGGGAUUUCAGAGCAAACUUUUCUUGGUGGAGACUGCUUCAAGGGCUCUAUAUAAACUUGUAACUUAUGGACCAACAUAUGAUCAACUUCUCAUGUAGAGAUCUGAAAAUUAUCUUUGCUCAGUAUUUUUUUUAAUUUAUUAUUAUGUGAACGUAGUGAUUCGGGAGCUUUGAACUAAUCAAAAGUUAAACUAGGGACCAGUAUAUAAUUUUCACAUGAGUUUUAAUGAUGAUCAAAGGUUAAACUUAUCUCGUCGUCUACCAUCCACACUAAGUGGUGGGUCAUUACCCUAUUCCCUCAUCCUCAUUAAAAUAUGAGCCUAUCAAAUAUGCAUGAUGUUAUGCAAUCAAAAUAUUCAAACCAUUUUUAGCAUCCAUAGGUUCACAAACAAACUCAAGACAGUUUCUUCGCUCUCUGAACAUUGGAUACUAGCAACCAGGGUUUUCCGUACCAUGCCGAACUGGCCGAUUCAUCCCGUAUCAUACCGGACCGAAAAGGAACCGAUACGGUUCGGCCGGUAAAUUCAAUAUACCGACGGUACCGGAAGAGAAAGAGAGGGAAAGUGAAAAAGAGAGAGAGGAGAGGGAGGGAGGCGGGAGCCGCCAGAGGCUGACGGUGGCCCGCUGCGGCCGUCGGAGGGCUUUCGAGCCCCGUAUCGCUCAAUAGGACUUUCAAGAGAGCGAGAAAGAGAGAGAGAGAGCGCGCUCAGGGGGGACGACCUACUGGACAAACGCCGCCUCCAUCGCGAGGCCCUCGAUGGCCGGCGAGCCCAUGCCAAUGGGCCUGAGGGUGGUUGAGCAAGAGGGCCUCUGUGGCUCCGCCGGUCUGCCUCCUUCGAAACAAAACUGGGUCCGUGGGUUUUUUUUUUUGAUUUAAAGACGUAAAAUCGGCAACUCAGUUACUGACUUCAAGAUUUUUUUUUAAAAAAAAUUAGUGAAGUCGGCAAGUGGUUGCCGACUUCACCUGUUCAUGGAUUUUUUUAAAAAAAUUAGUGAAACAGGGGCCGAUACGGCACCGCCCGCACGGACUGCGCCGUCGGGCGGUCACGGCGGCCAAUCGGACACCGUCCGACGGCCCCGCCUCUUCCUUCUCCUCCCUCCUUUUCUUUCUUCGCCCCCUCUCUCUCUCUCUCUUCUUUUUCUUCUCUCGAUUCGGCUCCCGUUUCCUUCAUCGAUUCGCAUCGAUUUGGCACGGUACGAAACCGUACCGAACCGUAUCACCAACGGCUGAUACAGCUAGCGGUACUGGUUCAGCAAACCUUGCUAGCAAUCACACUGUGAGAAGUUCAAUUCAACAUUGUAGACUGAAAUGUGAAUGUAAUAUGAAAUCUCUGCAGUUACAACCUAAUGCACAAUCAAAUGCCCUUACUACUUGAAUUUUCAACUGCUGCACUCCCAAAAAGGAAGAAUAUGCUUUAUUCAAAUGCAUCCCCAUUAAUUUGGAUUUAUCCAUGAUAAAAUUGUUUCAGGAGAGCAUUUAAGAGACCUUUUAAGCCACAUGCACUAUAAGUUAUGAGAUUGAAGGCAUACAUUCAUCAAUGUGGAAUUAAUAGUAUAACAUGCAAUGUUAAAACAUAUAAGUUAUGAGAUUCAAUAUCGACAAAUUACAAAUAGAUAGUUUACUGCAGUAUCAAGGUUCCAAUGUAAAUUACCCAUCCUUUCUCCAGAUAAUCAGUGUUCUAAUGUAUUCAGCAAAGUAAUAUUCUAUUGAAAUCUAACUUAAUAAAACUAGGAUAUUGAGGAUUAGCUCAAAGGAUAUUUGUGAAUCUGUCCAUCAUAUAAGGAAAGAGAGCAAACGCCCUUUAGUUUAGGCAGUCAGCUUUAUUAGAAUUAGCAGCAAUAAUGGACCAUGAUACACCAUAUAACCCCUUUUUUUCCUUCAAACCUCCACAAUUGCAGAGAUAGCUACAUAUUGCUCUGCAUUCAUUUUAACAGGUAAUCCACCAUCAAUUUCUUAACUCAUCUUCCUUUUGUUCUGCAUAAGAUCUUGUCACAAUUUAUUACAGUCAAAAAGGAAAGAUCUUUGUAAUUCUGCCAAACUAUCAGCCAUUCAAGUUGGCAUUUCAGAUAACAUGGAAUAGGUAGCAACAUGAUAAGUGACACUGAUAAGCAAUUAAUAAUCUUCUAUGUGCUUCACCAAAUUCCUCACAUUUUCUCUAGUCUUUCAGUGAUGAGAUCUGUAAUGCUUUUUUUAAUUCAUCUGAUAUUCCUUAGAGAAGUGUCCAGUAAACAAAUUGGCUUCAGGCUUACAUAAACACAUCUAUCUUCAUGCCAAAACCAACCCUUCCAGUCACCCUUGGUGAGUUCAAUUUCAGCCUGAAAAGGCUUGAAAUAUUUCUAGACCAAAAUGAUAUUGCUACUUCAACAAAUAACUCUAAUUAGAAGAUCAAAUUAAAUUGUUGUUCAUAAAAUGGAGGGGUCAAAUGAGAAACUUCUCCAAAAUCUGCACCACAUCAAGUGUGGCAUAUAUAAUAGAAUUAAUACUUCAAAAGAUAGAAACACAAUCCCUAUCACUCAAAUCUACUAACCAACGAAAUAACCUUACAGUGCAAUUAACUAACAGUAUGAUUGAGCUAUUUGACUUUGCAAAACAGUUCAUUAUCAUUUUUCAAAAAACCAAUCUUGAAUUCAAAGAGCACUCAAGUCUUGCGAUUCCAUUAAAAUUCUUCCAAACAUCUUAUUCUCCCUCAAAAUUAAUGAUAAGCAAGAAUUCUAGUCAUUCAUUUUCCUAUAAUCCUUCAGAAUGACUUAGUCUCACAAGUUCUAUGUUCACCACAAGCACAUCCAAAUGAUAGCUGGCAUUCAAGCAUAAUACAAAACAAAUUCUAUUGCUUUCCUGCCUUUCAAUAUAUCAAAGAUUUGGAUUGCAUAACCUAGUUUAGAGUCAUGUUUUUCUAUCAGAGAUCACAUCCAUUUUUUCCCAAACAUUUGUACAUUCUACAUCAAAAGAUUGCUUUCAAACCUGGCUAUAAACAUAUGUUGCUGGUUUCUGAUUCUUUGGGUUCUAUUUAAACCCACAAUCUUCAUACAACGGGUAUCAGGCAUUGAUCCUUAUUUUAUUCACCAGUGGCAUAUACUAGUUAUUUCCUUGUUCCUCCUGUCUUGUCCAGUCCCAUCUGAUCCAGCAACAUUUUUGACACAACUAUUCUAUGAUUUUUUUUUCUUGAGAAUGAAAAGGGCCUGAGAUUUAAUUCAUGUGUAUCCCCUUCAGCUACCUUGUAAGGUUUAAAGGUUUUCCCAUUUUGGCUCUUUUGGUAUUUCCAUCUAUUUAACUUCAACUUCACAAAUGGAUCCAACUUCAUUUACAUGCACUUAGUUUCCAGCAUGAAUGAUAGAUAUUGCAUGAAUGUUAUGCAUCCAAUGUGUCUACGAUUUUCCAAUGGAGCUUAAGAAUGCUAGUAAGUUCAAGAUCAAUGACAUAUGAAGCCAUGGUAACAUUCAUUGGUUAGAUCAAUGCCAUGGUUUGAACAACAAAUAUCACCUUGGGAAAUGAUAAUCCUUGCCCACAUAGGGGGAAGAACUGACAUAGUAACAAAGUUCACUCUCUGAUGGCUAGAUAUACAAAUAAUAACAUUAAUAUUAGAUCACAUAUUCAAGAAAGUGAAAGAGAAGUAGAUUUGAUCCAAACCAUAAUUUUUAGACAAAGCCUUAAGCUAGAGGCAAAACUAUUGCACAAAAUCCACCACAAAAACUAAAAAAUUUACCAUAUUUUUAUGUAUAUUUAUUGAUAUCUUGCAGAGGGACUUGCCCUUUUGACAAUGACUCAAAAUCCUAACAAAUCUAUACUAAAUAAGAUCAUUGAUUUAAGUAAACUAAUAGUAACCCUCAUUAAAGUUAGAACUAACGAAAGCAAAAGGUUAUAAAUAUGCUCCCAAAUUGAUCAACACUUUCAGGCCAUAAUAACUUAGACUAUAGUAUUUCUAAUAAUAUUAACUCAUCGAGACAACCCAAAUAAUAUAUUAAUGGAACAAUGCUAAUCCAAACUCCAAUUACAAAUUAUGACACUUGAAGGAUGCAGCUGCAAUUAAAUCUGAAAAUAGAAUUGUUAGUUCAGAUAUAAUUCUGGAGUCCUUUCUAAUUGUGCAACAUUUUCAAGAAGACUCAAAUUUAUAGAGAUUUAUUCCUUGAUUGCGAAGUGUAAGGAUAUCAACCAUUCAAAAUAACUGAGAGAUAUAACCUCUGAUGAUUGAGAUUAGGAAAAUUAGAUUAAGAAGAUGUCCUAGAUGACUUAAUCUCUUGCAAGGGCAAUCCAACAUGACGCAAUCAAAGAAAGUGAGGACCUAGCAUGGCCAUCUCUUGCACAAGCAUUCAAUAUUUGCUACCAUGGACAGGUUCUAAAGAUGCACUUUGUGACAUUCAAGAACACUGCAGACACAACUGAUCUACCCAAUUCUUAUUACCAAGGUCUCCAUGCAGAGUGAUGUGACGUGCAGUAAUAUAUUGUUGGAUAAAGAUAUUAAAUUCCUUUGUCAAUCUCUAGUGUAUUUUGUGAAAGUCAGUCUAAUGCAUCUUUUCCUCACAGCAGCACCAGCACCUACCAUGGUCCAUUACUGUAUCUAGGGACAGGAAAUUUGGGACAUCAUUGGACAUCCUAUUACAAUCAAACCAAAACAACUGAUUUAGAACUUCCACAUGUGACUCGCAUUUCCUAAACAUGAAAAAUCUUUGUAAUAGAUGUUGCAUGAACUAGCACCUAAGUAUGCACUAUAUAUGGCUGCCUUAUCAGAGUUGUGAAGAAUAAGCAUGACUACAAACAAUAUAGCUACGUGGAUAGUGAUUAUAGUUGAAAACACAGCCUGUUAUUAUGAUUUCAAAGGACCCCACAUGUUAUAUAUACAAGUGAAUGGAUGAUUAAUAGCUUCUUGAUAACAACCAUUGCUAGUGAAUUUCAACUUUUCCAAUAUAUAUUAUGAUAUAAUUGAGGAGCAUUAGACCUACAUGCUUAUACAGGAGACAGCUCUUCCUGCACAUAAUGUAAGGCCCAUAUACCUCUGUUUUGAGUGGACCAUACAUCCAAUGUACAUGGAGCCUAUAUAUUAAGAGGGGAAGGGUGCCAUUCAUGUUGCUCAUAGGCAGAUUUUGCCCACUUUAGCAUGUAAGUUUGGAGCCCAGAAUAUGAACUUCAUGCUAAUACUUAAAUAAAUGGAUAAGGGUAAUGACUGCUAUCAACAAAAUUCUAAAUUAGGUCUAUCUCAAUCUCUCUUGUAUUUUAAGGGACAUCCCUAGGGACACAAGGUUUAUUCUCCGGUUAGAAAACAAUCUUGCUAUUUCGAUGCAUGCACUAGAACACUUAGUAAGGCAUGCAUUAAGCAACCCUAAAAGUGCACCAAUUGGUCAUUGAUCUAAUAUCCUAUUUUUUAGUGCCACUAGACUUCACUCUAAAGCAUCAAACAUUUAGAUAAUCCAUUAUUUAACUAUUUUCUUGCACAGUUCAAAAAGUUUUCCUGCGUGACAAACAAAUAAUAAAGUCUUGGGAUAAUCAUCACCCAAAAAACUGAAAGUUUUUUAGAUGAAUGAUUCAUGUCAACCAAUGUAUCAAACAACUUGAUUUAUAGCAAAUUCGGUCAAGUGAAGCUCAAUGAUGGAAUUUCAAAUUGAUAUAAACUGAUGAAUGUUAUCUUCAUGACUAAACUACCUAGGAACCAAGCAUUAUAUGUUCGGACACCCCUUACGGAUUAAAUUGUCCUAAAAUUAACAGUUUUAGUGCCAUGCUAUAGUAUUUUGAUUUGAUCUAUGAUGAGCACAAGCAUAAUAGUUUGGUUUUGGUUUCCAUAUGUUUCAAGAUGCCUAGAUCAAGAUUAAUUUUUGAAAUACAAAUCCACGGAGUACUUUUUAAAAUGCUAGUUCUAUUUAUACUGUUCAUGGGAUGACUAGAUGCAUAAUUUCUGAAUGUACAUGUAUUUUAGAUUGCACAGUUUAGACAUUCUAGACUACAACCAAUGUAUAUGUGUGUGUUAAAUUUUGGAAGUUGGAACCCAAUCUUUGAAGUCCGCAUGGUUACAUUUGCCCUAGAAUCUGGUAGAUCUCACUAAGGAUAAUGAAAAAGAGAGAAAAAUAAAUAAGUUACCUUACUUCCAAUGGGAUUGAGGCUUCGGUUUUAUACUUGUACCAUAUCAAAAAUCAAAUAAUCAAUUAUGGGCAUUCUAAAUUAAUAUUCAUAUGGUUGAGCAUGUUCUGAAUUAUCUAAAAAUACAUAUAACCAAAAUCAAGUAUUCAAAAGGUCUCUUAACUAUUAUCAAGUCACCUAUAAAACAUAUCGAUAGUCUGAUAUAAAGUAGUGACACAAUUUAUGGUAUAGAAGCAUGAAGCCCCUUAAAAUUAGCUUGUAGAUGUUCAAGACCUUUAAAUCAUAAUGAACAGUGAAGUCCCAAAAUUUAUAUGCCUCAUCAUCUAUUUUAACAGAAUUGAACUAUUGGUGGCUUCAAUUUUGUGUUCACUUGAACCAUAGGCAAGAGAACUCUAUAACAAUUCCAUUUCUUAUAGGAAUUUUAGAUUUUUAAAUCAUGAUAAACACAGGGGAUCCUAAAUUCAAAAAAGCCUACUCUUGACCAAGUGUCUAUGAUGCAUACAUAGAUUGAAAGGGACGAAAAGAAUUUUGCAAAAUGGGGAAAUAAAACUAAUCGAAAAGAAAACAAGAAUCAAAGACCAAGUGGAAUCCAUCAUCAUAAAUUCAGUAUUGUCAAAGUAAACCAAAGUUUGCUUACAGACAUCUAAUCUAGAUUCUGAAAUCCUAUUAUGUAAUAUUGUUUCCAGAAAAAAUGAAUGAAGUUCAGCAUAAUCCAGCUACAAACAUAAGACAAAAUGUAUAAAGUAUAAACCCCUUUGAAAGUUGAAAUAGCUGAAGUCUCUAAAAUAGCAAGUUUUAUAUCUACAUCAGGAGAAUGCCGACGCAAUGAAAAUGUACUCAGAAAGCUUAUAUCACCUGCAUUGUAGGUGAAGAUGAUCCUUUGAUCUUAUGAACACCUGUAAAUAUUAUUAUAUUCUCCAACAUAGUUGCUACGGUUUGUUAUGAUCUUUUAUUUUCUAAUAUAUCAUUAUAAUGUCUCUCCAAUCAUCUAGCCUUUGUCUGCAAUGUUGCAGAACUCAUCUGUUAACAUUGCUCACCAACUUACCAGUUGUCCUCCCAUGAUUUUUCAUAAAUUGAUUGGCAUGUUAUCCAUAACCAAUACCUUGUACAUUCCAUCUCAAAUGUUAAUAAGAUGUGAAUUACUAAAAAUCAUAUUAUUUAACCUCAAUAUUGUAUGUUCUUAACAAUAACAGUGAGGCAAGCAUCAGUUCCUCCUUAAAUCAGCUAUUUCAGUCAUAACAAACAUAAUUAUAACCAACAAAACAAGAAUCCAUAUUCAAUGUAUGUGUUGUUUGGCUAUAAGGUUCAAGACAGAGAGCCAUCAGAAUAUUACCAACCCUCGCCUGAGAUCAACCAUUCAAAUUAGUGACAGAUUCCUGAACAAGGCAACUAUGGGGGAGAGAUGUUAGAGAUGUACCCUCAAAAGCCAAAUGGUGGUACUGCAACCUCUUAUAUACUUCAAGUUUAGUAGCUCAUGAGCAAGACUAUAUGUCUAGGGUUCCUUUUGACUUGCAUAGUAUCACAAAGAUGAGAAGGUAAAUACAGUUCGAUAUAGAUAAUUUCAAUUUAUCUCUAAUGUACAAUGAGCAAGCCGUAGAAAAAAAGUUGAAACUCAAAACUACAACUCAAGUCCUACUUAAAUCAAUCAAUUUGAUCGUAUUUGGAAAAUAUUUAUGCCAAGCACAUAUCAAAUCAUUGAAUUAGAUGUUGCCUAUAAAGAAUGCUUUUAAUUCAAUGGUAUUUGCAGAUAAAUCAUCUCAUCCUACAGUCCAUAUCACCGAUUAUGCAAGAUGUAAGACAUUGAUGCACCAAGAGAGACCCUGCAUAUGUGAGCGUCUUAAAGAGACUUUUACUUACAUCAAGCAUAAAUACAUAUUUUCACCUAGUGAUCGAAAUUCUUGAAUAGUAACCCAUGUCCAUAUAACAAAAAAGCAAGCAAAUAAAAAUCUGAAUUAUAAUAAAACAACCAUAAGCAUAACAAGAUAAUCUCGUAAUUGAAAAAAAUUGUAACGCUUCAAAAAAAAACCAAAGAAACUAAUAAAUUAAGUUAAAGCAAGCAAAUAACAAAUCCAAAGCAUAGAACCAAACUAAUGAAAUAGAUAAACAGAGGGAAACAAAAAUCACAACUGUUGGUUGCUAACUACCUGUGCCUCGAGAGCAUCUCCUCCAAAGGCUCCCGCUUUCUCUCACUUAAAUCCCCCUGGAUCUCCCCUUGAGGCGCCCCUCCCUCACCCUCUUCGGCUGCCUCCAUUGCCAAGGAAAGAGAGAGAGGGAGAGAUAGGGGCUGAGGAAGAAUUGAUAGGGGCGAGAAGAGGAGAGUUCCAAGAGGAACCAAAGAGGUCACGGAGGCUAUGAUCCGAAAAAAGAAAAAGACAAAAAUGCCACGGAGACUGCAGCCCUGAGAGCAACAAGUUUGCGAUGCAUUUGAACGGCCCACUAAUGGAAAUCUCAAAAGCGAAAGAGAUUCUUUGUGCACCGCAGGCGGUAGAGAACCACGCCAAUUGCCCACGAUAGUUG